rnacentral:lncRNA from 1 species
GCAGUUUGAUCUCAGACUGCUGUGCUAGCAAUCAGCGAGACUCCCUGGGCGUAGGACCCUCCGAGCCAGGUGUGGGAAAUAAUCUCCUGGUGCACCGUUUCCUAAGCCCGUCGGAAAAGCGCAGUAUUUGGGUGGGAGUGGCCCGAUUUUCCAGGUGCCCUCCUUUCCUUGACCAGGAAAGGGAACUCCCUGACCCCUUACGCUUCCCAAGUGAGGCAAUGCCUCGCCCUGCUUCGGCUGGCGCACGGUGCCCUGCACCCACUGUCUGGCACUCCCUAGUGAGAUGAACCCGGUACCUCAGAUGGAAAUGCAGAAAUCACCCAUCUUCUGCGUGGCUCAUGCUGGGAGCUGUAGACCAGAGCUGUUCCUAUUCAGCCAUCUUGGCUCCCGGAUCCAGUUUAACUUUUGCAGAGUGAACCUGAGGAAUACCACAAAUGUGAGCAUGGCUGGAUCUUUUGAAUUAAAAUCCACACUGGGAAAGAAAUAGACCUUGAACAUCUUGCCAAAGGCAAACCACUUCAAUAGAACAUGGCUGGCGGCCAUAUGGACAUAUUUGAAUCCAACAAUUAAUUCAGCAAAGAAAGCUGCUUGUGGCAAGUUUUGAAUGUGCCAUUCCAGGUAGUGCUUUGAUGAUAAAUGAGGAGAAGAUUGCAAAGAAAAUGACAGCAACAUUUAUAAAAGGAGAAGAAAACUGAGGCAUAGAACAUUUGGGAAUGAAUCUAAGACUACACAUCUAGAAUAGCAGAGUUACAGGAAUGCAGAUGUGAUUCCUAUGGAUGAGGGUAACCUAGAGGCUAGAAGAACAAUAGGACAGAAGAAGCCUGGGUCCCUGAACAACCUUGUGGAGCAUAGACACCUACGUGGCCUGGACUGCCAGCUCACAAUGGGCCUCUCUGUGAGAGAAGGAAACUUCCCUCUUGUUUAAGCAACUGUGCUUUUGAGAAUCUCUUGGUCUAUACCCUAAUGAAUAAGGCCAUCAUAAAUGGAUAUCAAAGUAAGGAAAUUUGUGUAAAUGAUUUAAUAAAACAUUACCUCAGGUAUGAAAUAAUUCUACCUUGUGCCUUGACAACAUCAGGUAUUAUUCAUGCCCUUUUCUCUCCCUGUAAUGUCUCUUAUCCACGGGUAGAAAUUAUAUUUUCCAUCUAAGGUUUGCUCAAAUAUUAUCUACUUAAGUAGCUCUUACCAAUUUUGCCUCUCCUCCUGAGCUGACCCUAUGCCUUCUAUGCUGUUCCAGGUAAUAUUAAUCUCUUCCUUUGUACUUCUUUCACAGAACAUACUUUUUUGUCUAACAUAAUAACUAUAGGCAUAAGUGUAUAGAUUCCACUAGGGGCUUCAGAACAGAAACUAUCAUCUUAUUAAUUUUUUUCUCCCUGAUAUCUAGGGAAAUAUGUUAUAUAUAAUAGGCCCUUAGUAAUCCCAUAAAUGUUUGUGAGAUAUUCACUGACUAUAAGCCAUACUCUGUAUUUAUUUAGCUAAAACAGACGUCUUUCAUAUUUAGUUAGCAGAAAAUGCUCACAUUUACUCCUUUCCUGUUUACCAAAUGAAAGGGUAAUUGUUUUUUCACAGAUUGCACUAGAAAAGUGUCUUCUCUCUCUUUUUCAAAUAGAUUGUCUUUAAAACAUAUGACAGGAAAAGUGACUAUUGUUAGGAUAAGAUAAUUACGAUUGUAACAGCUAGUUUAAAAGAAGUGUCAGUUGCUCCUGUUUUAUUUUUCACAGGAUAGAGCUGCGGCCUGUCUCAGUAUGAUGUUUUCAGGAUCUGGUAUAUAUUUUUAUUUUCCUACAUGAAUCUUUCAUCCUUUUACUGACAUUUAUUCAUUUUAUCUAAUUAUCCUAAAAGGAAAGCUCUGGCCAGGCAAAUUGGUUGUUGUCUGCCUCUGAAGAGACAUUCAUAUCGCGUCGCUUAGCUUUCAAGUUUUGUGAUCAGGAACCCUCAGGCCCAUUUUUAAGGAGGUUUCAGGCUAGCUGAGCUUCACUGUCUCCCAAAAUGUACAAAAUGAGAUUACAUGAGGGACAAGAUCAAUUUACUGGAAGGUACUUAAGCAGUAAAUCUGGAGCUUUUUGUCCAGUCACUAUUGCUUUCAAGCUUUGUAGCAGAAAAUUAAGCCACAAGAGCUUUGACAAAUUAGAUAUUACUACCUCUAAUUGUGUAUGUUUAAGCUUAUCACACUGAAUUGCAGCAUUGUAACUGACUAUUAUGCCAACAAGGCCUUCGUUUAAUCAGCGCAGUGCCAUUUAAUCGCAAUUAAUCACUCAACUAAAAUGUCAUAUUAAGGUCACAGAAACUUGAAGGGCUAAAAGAAAAGAGAACAUUAAAGUCAGCUGAUGGAGGAAAAGAGCAUGGUGUGCCAAGGGAAGUUCUGAGCACUCUUUUUCAUUAGAAGCUGGUAGAACAUUUAAUGAGAAUUCAGUCUUAACUUUCAGCUGAGAUCAGAACAACGUGCC